CAGACUCAAGAAGCCAAAUGGCCUACACUCCUGCACGCAGUUGUUGUGUACUUACAUGCGAACAUCUUGCAAGAUCAUGGUUCAAGAAGCCAGUUCUAAGAUCAAGCCUCAACAGUUGCACUUCAACUAAUCCACUAAAGAAAAAGCUUGGACACAGCUACAAUGGAGACCUGCAAAGCUAAAGUGACAACAUCUUUUGAUGGCUAAUGUCAAUUGUUAUAAAAUGGCUAUAACCAUCAACACUAUAUGUACCGAAAGACAGGUCGACACUGAAAGCAGAAUCACAUGCCAACAUAUUACCAACAUGCAUCCUUAAAGGGAUGUACCUCAACAAGUAGCACAUCAUAGUACAGCCAAUAAAAGACCGCCUCAGUGUAUAAUGAAUUGUCAAUUCCAUGCAGUGGCACAAUCACACUGCAAUACUAAUAUGAAAGUUCAGCUUGGACUGCAGUCUAAAUUGGAAAUCUGCCAGGUAAAUACGGAUGGUCCAGCAGUGGCAGGAGUACCAGUCUGCAGAGCUGAAUACUACAACCAGCUGAGAUUCAAACCACACCCACUAUGGUGAGAAUGAUAGACAG